GACGAACGCUGGCGGCGUGCUUAACACAUGCAAGUCGAACGGAAAGGCCUGCUUUCCCUUGUGGAUUGCGGGUACUCGAGUGGCGAACGGGUGAGUAACACGUGAGUGAUCUGCCCCCAACUUGGGUAUAAGCCUGGGAAACUGGGUCUAAUUCCCGAUAGGACUGCAGGGUGGCGCCUGUGGUGGAAAACGAUUUUCUAGUGGUUGGGGAUGAGCUCGCGGCCUAUCAGCUUGUUGGUGGGGUAAUGGCCUACCAAGGCGGCGACGGGUAGCCGGCCUGAGAGGGUGGACGGCCACAUUGGGACUGAGAUACGGCCCAGACUCCUACGGGAGGCAGCAGUGGGGAAUAUUGCACAAUGGGCGGAAGCCUGAUGCAGCGACGCCGCGUGGGGGAUGACGGCCUUCGGGUUGUAAACUCCUUUCGACCGCGAGGAAGCCACCUGGUUGGAAGGGUGGUGACGGUAGUGGUAGAAGAAGCACCGGCUAACUACGUG
rnacentral:rRNA from 1 species